AUUGAACGCUGGCGGCAGGCCUAACACAUGCAAGUCGAACGAGUGGCGGACGGGUGAGUAAUGUCUGGGAAACUGCCCGAUGGAGGGGGAUAACUACUGGAAACGGUAGCUAAUACCGCAUACCAUCGGAUUUGCCCAGAUGGGAUUAGCUAGUAGGUGGGGUAAAGGGUCACCUAGGCGACGAUCCCUAGCUGGGCUGUGAGGAGGACCAGACAAACUGGAACUGAGACACGGUCCAGACUCCUACGGGAGGGAGCAGGGGGGAAUAUCGCACAAUGGGAGCAAGCCUGAUGCAGCCAUGCCGCGGGUAUGAAGAAGGCCGUCGGGUUGUAAAGUACGGUCAGCGAGGAGGCGUUACUCGCAGAAGAAGCACCGGCUAACUACGUGCCAGCAGCCGCGGUAAUAC
rnacentral:rRNA from 1 species